UACGAAGGGGGCAAGCGUUGUUCGGAAUGACUGGGCGUAAAGGGCGCGUAGGCGGUUCGUUGCGUCAGAUGUGAAAGCCCCGGGCUCAACCUGGGAACUGCAUUUGAUACGGGCGAGCUUGAAUCCAAGAGAGGGUGGUGGAAUUCCCAGUGUAGAGGUGAAAUUCGUAGAUAUUGGGAAGAACACCAGUGGCGAAGGCGGCCACCUGGCUUGGUAUUGACGCUGAGGCGGCGAAAAGCGUGGGGAGCAAACAGGGAUUAAGAAAC
rnacentral:rRNA from 1 species